rnacentral:rRNA from 1 species
CCCUUAGAUGUCCUGGGCCGCACGCGCGCUACACUGAUGCAUUCAACGAGUCUACCUUGACCGAGAGGUCUGGGAAAUCUUCUUAACGUGCAUCGUGAUAGGGAUAGAUUAUUGCAAUUAUUAAUCUUGAACGAGGAAUUCCUAGUAAACGCAGAUCAUCAAUCUGCAUUGAUUACGUCCCUGCCCUUUGUACACACCGCCCGUCGCACCUACCGAUUGAAUGGUCCGGUGAAGCCUCGGGAUCGCGACGAGCUUCCUUUAUUGGGGGUUCGUUGCGAGAACUUGUCUAAACCUUAUCAUUUAGAGGAAGGUGAANUCGUAACA